UGCCCAUCAGGGCCGCAGUAGGAUACUCACAGAAAAUGAGUCCUUCCUGCUCGCAUCUAUACAUGCCGUAGUCCCAUAUCAACAGACUACUUUUGUGUACACUCCACGCCUCACGUAUCCAGAACUAUCUGAACUAAAGCUCAAUCGCCAUCUAAUCCCAGACGACCUGACAUCUCUAUCUGACCUUUCUUACUUUACCUUUCUUCUAUUCUAGUCUUUCUCUGCUCUAUCUUAUUUCAUUUACUCUUUUCUUUGCUUAUUUUUCUCUUACUU
rnacentral:lncRNA from 1 species